GACAAAGGGGGACUCCACAACACAAAGCUAGAUGUGCCCUCUCAAACUUUUUCCACGACGCACGGCGACGCGCGCAGAGCAAACCGCCCCCAGGUGGAUUUGAACACCAGAUUAACCAGCAAAGCGUCUCUCCUGUUGGAGGUUAAGGAAAGAAAAAAUAUGUGGAAAUCACAUGGAAGAUGUACACAGUCACCUAUCAAGCGGCUUUUAAGACGCAGAGGAGGAUUAAGAGACUGUGCAGUUUUUUUUUCUUUUGGAGAAGGUGAAGACUCAUCUCAUAAGGAUUUAAACUUCAGCAGCAGCAGUAGUGCCAGGCGGGAUGCAUUUUAGGCACACUUGGAAAUCUGAAACUCAUGGAGACACUUUGAGGAUUAUAAAAAUGUGCAGUGUGCCUCUCUCCACAAGACAACAUCCCCUACAGCCCCAAAGUCGCUGGGAUAGCAGGAUAUUGCAUUUGUGAUCCUCCUCGGCCCUCGGCAUGGGGAGUGUGGGAGUGGUGAGGUCUGGGAGAUCACGACCUUAAUUCUCUCCAAGACAGACGGUUUAAUUAACACUGGAGGAAUCCUCGCCAGCUCCAGACCUCUACAAUGGGAAUGUACAGGGGAAUUGGAUUGCCAAGGCCCCCUUCUACGUAGUCCACAUUGCAAGAAGACCACCUCACAGGGAUUUUCCCCUUCACCAGGUGUGGCAGAGUGAGAGUCAGAGAGGCAGAUCAGCUGGUCUAGACAGGAGGACCGUCAAGAUCUCAAAAGACACCUGCAUGAAAAUGGAGAACAAAAAUGAAGAUAGUGAAGAAACAGCUUCAUGGAGAAAAAACUGUUAAGUUACACACAUUUGUCACAUGCCAUGCCAAGCUGCAUCAGAGAAGGACCAUCUCUGGAGCCGGGCCAAAAGGACAUCCGAUUGCCUCCAAGUGGGUAGCAGUGAUGUCUCGCCGACUGCAGCCGAUCCCUGAUGACCCCCUUUUCCCCAGCAAGAGUGUGUGUUGCAUGACUCAGCUGAUGUCUGUGUAUAAGACCAGAGAGAAAGACAUUGUGAAAAGUCUUAUUGUAUUCAGCGCUCAAUACUUUUGUAGCUUCUAACUGAAUUUCUGUGGUUUGGAGUUUAGUUUCUCUCCUGUGCCCCUGUUCGUAGUUUCAGAUAUCUGCUUAAGUUAACUGUUUCAUGUUCACUUUAAGCUGUAAAAGAGUUGAAAACCCAACAUUUUCAUAUUUUGCUGCUUCAAAAUAAAGGUCUUUACAUUACAAAAUAAGGGGGAACUUUUAUUGUGAAGAAGUUAUAGGAAAUGGAAUGUGUUUAUCACUGAAUUAGCAAGCAGCUCUGUGGGGCUUUAAAAAGAUGCUUCAUUAGCUAAAUGCUAACAUCAGCAUGCUAUUAUAUUGACAAUAACAAUGCUGAAGUGCUGAUGUUUUCCAUGUUUAUCAUCUAACACAAGCUAAUUAGCACUAAAAACAAUUGAGGCUAAUGGGAGUGACACUAGUUUGGUCCUAUUUUUUUUAAAAAUCACAAUCAAUCCAGUAGUUGUAUCACAAAUGUCAGCCACAUAGGAGUACUACAGGAAAGGUCAGGGGGUCACUAGGAUAUAUCAUCUAGGAAUCUGUAAAUGUCUACACACAUUUCAUGUUGUAGAUGUUGAAACAUUUCAAAGGAUAAGUACUACUGCAGAUGAAAAGAUCACCAGUCUCAAGGCUGCAUCCUCUGGGAACCAAAAUUUAAUGGCAAUCCGUUUGAUAGUUUUUGAGAUAGUUCAGUAUGGGCCAAAGUGACUGCUUGCGUGGCUAAUUAACAUCUUGAAGUGUUUAAGCCAGUCAUAUGUAAUUAGUCAUGGAAGAAAACACUUUUUUUUCUCUGCACAAGAAAAGAAAAUGUAGAGAAUCCAAAAUACCAGAGCUGGGUUAGCCCGUUACACCCCUGCAGUGAACAGUUUUGAAGCCUCCCUAUCUGCCUCCCUCCAUCUUUGUCUGUGGUUACUAACCCCUGCUACAGUGGUCAGACAUGGGCCCCCUAUGUUUUCCACGGACAGUUUAUCACACUUCCUCUCUUUCUGCUCUAGGCCCCCAGUCAGUCGACCAGACAGGAAAAUCAAAGACUACAGGACAUACCAUUACAGUGCAAAUGGUAUAUAUGGCACUCUACAGCAUGCUGAUGAUAUAUAACUGUGAAGUCUCACAAGAAAACACAAAACAGGAAGGAGGUCUGAGCUGAGUUUCUCUUUAACAGCCCUCAUAAGUGAACAUAAAUGUCUGAAUCACACAUUGGAUUGAUUUAAAGUUAGUCAGAAUGAUCCUGCACAUAUUGGAUGCUAUGGAAGGUAAAAUGAUUUUACUUGAAUGUGUGAAUGUUAACUGUAUGGAGUUGACUUUGAUUAAAUAAAGUGCUUAAUAAAUCA